UACGAAGGGGGCUAGCGUUGUUCGGAAUUACUGGGCGUAAAGCGCACGUAGGCGGAUCGAUCAGUCAGGGGUGAAAUCCCAGGGCUCAACCCUGGAACUGCCUUUGAUACUGUCGAUCUGGAGUAUGGAAGAGGUGAGUGGAAUUCCGAGUGUAGAGGUGAAAUUCGUAGAUAUUCGGAAGAACACCAGUGGCGAAGGCGGCUCACUGGACUGGUAUUGACGCUGAGGUACGAAAGCGUGGGGAGCAAACAGG
rnacentral:rRNA from 1 species